GCGAGUGAAGCGGCAACAGCUCAAAUUUGAAAUCUGGCUCUCGGGCCCGAGUUGUAAUUUGUAGAGGAUGCUUUUGAUGCGGUGCCUUCCGAGUUCCCUGGAACGGGACGCCAUAGAGGGUGAGAGCCCCGUCUGGUUGGAUGCCAAAUCUCUGUAAAGCUCCUUCGACGAGUCGAGUAGUUUGGGAAUGCUGCUCUAAAUGGGAGGUAUAUGUCUUCUAAAGCUAAAUACCGGCCAGAGACCGAUAGCGCACAAGUAGAGUGAUCGAAAGAUGAAAAGCACUUUGAAAAGAGAGUUAAAAAGUACGUGAAAUUGUUGAAAGGGAAGCGUUUAUGACCAGACUUGGGCUUGGAUAAUCAUCUGGGGUUCUCUCCAGUGCACUUUUCCAGUCCAGGCCAGCAUCAGUUUUCGCCGGGGGAUAAAGGCUUCGGGAAUGUGGCUCUCUCCGGGGAGUGUUAUAGCCCGUUGCGUAAUACCCUGGCGGGGACUGAGGUUCGCGCAUCU
rnacentral:rRNA from 1 species